UUCACAAUGUGAUCUUAUUUCUGUUCCUGAAAAGUUGUUUUCAGUGUAUUUUCUCCUUGAAAUCGAUCACUUCAGGUACUAUUACUGUGCAUACCUAGCUAAAUUAGUGUCUAGUUUCGUCUCUGAUGACAUUUAUUUCGUAAAAAUCGCUGUUUUUUUCUAAAAAGGUGUUUUUGUGGUCAUUUUGGCUGUUUAUUUCGAGGGUACGGUAGGAGGUCAUCGUUCACUCGAUAACUCUUUUUAAAAUGAAAUAAAAGCGUUUUAAGAUACAUGAUAUGAAUUGAUAUUAAUAUUCGUUAAGUGGGAUUGUCGGUGGACGUUCAUUGUUGAACAGUUGUGCUGGAAUUACGAAAAUAUAUCGAUAUCGUUGAGAGUUCAUUCAUUAGGGGCCUGUUCUCAAUUUUCCUUACAACGCCUCUAGCACUGGGCAAUUGCCACCAUCUUGAAAAGCAGUGCCGCGGAUGGCUAUCGCAUCGCCACUACGCAUGAGAACACGAUGGCUGCCCUGCGCUGCAUUGAUAGUUCGUAAUAAAUUCACAUAAAAACACACCAGAAGAUCUCCGAUUUUAUUUACAAAGAUCAUAUUUUGUUAUUUAUUGAUAAAACAAGCCAUUUUACCACAGCAGGUGACACAUAUUAGGCCUGAAUAAGACUUUAGAAUUUGAAGUGGUGGUGACGAUGCCGAUAUCCAAGAUGGCGGAAUUAUACCAGUGGUCAAAUCUCAUCUAUUUUGGGUAAUUGCAUCAUUAUUUCUUUUUGUGAUUGGUGAUUUGUAAAAUUGAGAAUGAUUGAAAAAUCAGUAUUUUUUCACCCAAAGGCAUGAGUGAACAUUUGAUAAGUUUAUUGUGAUUUAAUUGGUAAUUUGGUCGACAUUUUGACAAUUAUAUUUAGCAAUAUUUCGAUAAAUGCGGACCUGCUUCUUCCUCUUUUCGUAGUGGCGGUGUUUCGAUAACUCAGUUAGACUUCGAGAUCUACAUUUUCGACAAAGGCCUGGUGUAUAAAUAUUACGUACUUGAUGAAGGUUUAAUGACACGAAUGAGUACAAGUACAUUACAUAUUUUCGACGAAGGCCUUCUGUAAUUUCAUACGCUUCUUACGCAACAUUCAAUAGAUUUAUUUACUGUAUUAUCAUUUCGACCAAGGCGAAUUCGACACUUCAAUUGACAAGGUUAGUAACUUUUGUUCACAAAAUCCAAAUGGAGGCAAAUACAGAACAAUCAAACUUAGUCAUUCAAGUCAGUUACUGAAGCACAGUGAAAACUGUCGGGAGCAGUGCAACUGAUGGCAUGUCAAACUUCCAGUGACUGUCCCUGUCCAUAUAUUUCAAGACAGUACAAAUCUUGUAAUCAUUUUGUUUAUGCAAUGUACGUUAUUAUGUAUCAUUUCAGCACAAUCAAACUUAGUCAUUCCAGUCAGUUACUGAAGCACAGCGAAAACUGUCUGAAUUAGUGCUGCUGAUGGCAUGUAAUUACUCUACUACCACUACCAGUGACAGUCAAUGUCCAUAUAUUUUCAAGUGUGCGAAAUUAGUACUCGUCUACUUCUUAGUGUUAUUUGAAUGCAAUGUAUGUUAUAAAAAUAUUUUUUCAACACUAUAUCAACAUUCUCAUUCCUGUCAGUUUCUGAAAAUCAGCUAAAGCAAUCGCUACCAAUGCAGCUGAUAACAGCAAUUCUUUUUGUUCCCAAUGCCCAUCCAUGACAAUAUAUUUCACGCAUGUGACAAUCAUGUAAUCAUCCUGUUUUUUGUGUUCUAUUCAUGCAAUAAAUAAAUUCAGUAUUUUCAAAUCAUUGGUGCUACAAAACUAUUCUCAUUAUAGAUUAUUCAUAUUUUAUAAAAUGCUGUCAUGUCAAAUUUUGUGUCCUAUAAAUCAUUAUGAAGUCGGCAUUUUAUAUACAACUUUUGUACUCCUCCUAAAUAAACAUACAAAUCUUGUUUUAUGUAAACUUUGUAUAUGUGACCCGUCACAGCAAAACCAGACGCAUGUCGCUCUGAGCUUGGCAGGUUGAGACGGACUGUUUGUUCAUUUAUCUAUUGUCUGCCUUUUGUAAAAUAUGAGCACAUCAAUUUCUUCCAUUAUCUCCUGGUGUCAUUUAGGCUCAUCUUCUGUGCGACAUGUACCUGGUUUUGCUGUGACGGGUCACAUAUUCUAUAGAUAUACAACACUCUAAUGUCACAAUGCCUCUCUCACUCGCUUUUAUAUAGCAAGAUGUAUGAAUAAACAUGACACACCAACUAUGUACAAAAUUGCUAACAAACUGCACCAUUUGUCAGUACACCACAUGAAAUACAGAGAUAUGUCUUAAUUCUAAUCUUUCAUUAGCGACACCAUUUCUUACCCGAGUGCCUCCUUCAUUCAUACAUCUUGUACUUUAACUCAAGAUACCCAUCUUUGAAUAUUUUUAGUAUACCAAGUACUACAAUGUCAAUGUAUUGAAGUCAUGUUCUUGUAGUGUUAUUGGCUUUCUAUUAUCUUGUCAAAAUACCACUUGGUUCUCGCAAAAUCUCAAUAAAAACAAAUGCUAUUGCAUGUAUUGCAUAUUCUGACAGCUAUCCACUGUAUCGAUUUAUCCAUCAUCUGUACUAUUUGUCACAAAAAUGUUAUAUUAUGUAAAUCAUAUUUCAUUACAUAAUGCACACUGCCAAUUACUGCUGAACCAUUCAUAUGUCAUUUAAAUAAAUAAUUUUCAACUUUUUAAAACCGUCUUAUAGUACUGUUCUUGUCACUUGGCUGAACCAAUUGCUCUAUAGCAUGAAAUUUCCAGAAAUGCGCCAGGGACUGAAAAGUGCUGUUUUAACAGAGAGGUGUCCUAAACUGAGAAGUCGAGUUGAAUGGAAACAACCAAUUUGGAACCAAAAACUACUGUCCUUAUUAAAGAGGUUGUCCUCAAUAGAAAGGUGUCCACAAAAAGUAGGCCCACUGUAUAUGAAAGUACAAACCCUGGUACAUGUAGUGACAUCAUCUACUCCUCGAUGUGGACACCUGCAAAUGCAGCGACAAUGUCACAUCAGUUAUUUAAUUCAUCGUCCUUUGUGCAGAUGGCACCACCCAUCAAGCAUGUUGGUGACGAAUAGUGUCGCAGCAUUUCGUCACCGAGCUUACACGAAAAUGCACUGUCAUUCAUUCAGCCAUAAGUGUAAGACUGUAGGGUUGUUUCCAACCAAAACAUGUUCGAAAUGUGUCAAGCAUUCGGAACACCCAAAGACUGAUUAGAGAAGUCAAAAUUGAAUGGAAACAACCAAUUUGGGACCAAAACCAGUGUCCUUAUUGGAAAGGUUGUCUUUAAUAGAGAGGUGUCUACUAACGGAGGUUCCACUGUACAUAAUGUAGGAACCCUGGUUGUGACAUUGUCCACUCCUCCAGCUGCACACCACCAAAUCCACAACAAUGUCACACCAGUUAUUUAGUUCAUCAUGCUUAUGGUCAUUGU